rnacentral:rRNA from 1 species
AGUGAACGCUGGCGGUAGGCCUAACACAUGCAAGUCGAACGGCAGCACAGUAAGAGCUUGCUCUUACGGGUGGCGAGUGGCGGACGGGUGAGGAAUACAUCGGAAUCUACUUUUUCGGGGGGGAUAACGUAGGGAAACUUACGCUAAUACCGCAUACGACCUACGGGUGAAAGCAGGGGAUCUUCGGACCUUGCGCGAUUGAAUGAGCCGAUGUCGGAUUAGCUAGUUGGCGGGGUAAAGGCCCACCAAGGCGACGAUCCGUAGCUGGUCUGAGAGGAUGAUCAGCCACACUGGAACUGAGACACGGUCCAGACUCCUACGGGAGGCAGCAGUGGGGAAUAUUGGACAAUGGGCGCAAGCCUGAUCCAGCCAUACCGCGUGGGUGAAGAAGGCCUUCGGGUUGUAAAGCCCUUUUGUUGGGAAAGAAAAGCAGUAGGUUAAUACCCCGCUGUUCUGACGGUACCCAAAGAAUAAGCACCGGCUAACUUCGUG